ACUCCUGACUGUGGCUCAGCCUCCCUAACCCUAAACCGAUGGACACUUUUCUCCUCUCUGGCUUCCUCAGCCAACAGCCCUCCUUCUGAAGCCGAAGGUUCCCUCGUGGCAAUGGAACUUUGAGACAGCCCACUGUUGUGACAUGGGCCACUGUUCCGCUCCACUAGAUGGCUGCUCACCUGUCCUGGCUCAAGCGAGGAGCUGCUUCAAAGCACAUAAUUCUGUCCUGUGGCUGGACCCCGACUGCACAGGGGUCUGCUUUCACUUCUGUGAGGCCUCAAUACAGAACACUCUCAGUCUCCUCUGUUUCUGGAUCCGGCUAAACUGUGAGAUCAUAUGGGACGAGGCUCGGUGACCAAGGGUGGGAGAAGGGCCUAGGCGCAGUCCAGCCCUUUCAGGGUCACAUGCCUCCUCUCCCCACGGGCCAUUCUGCUGACCCGACCAUCAACAGGAGCAAAGCAGCCAUUGCUUCAGAGAUGGAGCCCACCACAGAAUGGAACAGCUGUGUCCCGGGGCCUCCCCACAUGAGGCAAGGCGGCUCCCAGGCCCUGAGGGUGAUGGUUGGGGACCAUGGAUACAUGGUACAGAGGGAAUCUCUAGGAGAAAUCAAUCUCUUGGCAGAUUUAGACCCUCCCUUGGGACAGAAUAUACAGCAAGAUACAGAUCCACAGAGCAUCUGCCGUCAGCUGGGCGGAGGUCUCCUCUUUCCAUGUACCACGUGGACUGCCUUACAAAGACUUCUCCUCUCCCUUCCCUGCUCGGAUCCACUGAGUCUCACCCCACCCCAAUGGCGCUGCCUAUGACAAGAUGAAGCCAUCUGUUCACCUGCAGAGGCCCCCUCUGAGGAGCAGCGGCAAAGGGACUCACCGGGAAGGUGGCACACCACCGGGAUGCCCAGUUUCCUGAGGUCGUCUGCGUUGCCGACACCGGAGAGCAUGAGCAGCUGCGGAGAGUUGAUGGCGCCCCCGCUCAGAAUCACCUCCUUGCUGGCGUAAGCCUGGAAGAGGCAGAGGCACACAGGUCACAUGUCCUGAAAGCCAGAAAGAACCCCAAGAGCGUGGCCUUGGUGUGAUGUCCCCAAGUGGUGGGUGGGGACCGGUUCUAGGCCCCAGAGAAAGGAAGGAGAUGCUUAGCUGCUCUAUGAAGGCGCUCGCGGGCGCGGGUGCGACACAGCGCUUCACAUGCUGAUGCAUUCUGCAACAGCCACGCUGUAACGAUGGUCUUAAAAACGCGGCAGCUUCAGUAAAGCAAGCAGUGACCCAGAUCUUCACAUAGGUGCAGAAUGAUCCUGACACACUGCUAUGUGGGGAACAGCGUAGCGCUGGGGGCACCCGGGUGGCUCAGUCAGUUAGGCAUCUGGCUCUUGAUUUUGGCUUAGGUCAUGACCUCACAG